rnacentral:rRNA from 1 species
GCAGCAGUGGGGAAUUUUGGACAAUGGGCGCAAGCCUGAUCCAGCCAUGCCGCGUGAGUGAAGAAGCCCUUCGGGUUGUAAAGCUCUUUCGGCCGGGAAGAAAUCGUGUUGUCUAACAUCGGGCAUGGAUGACGGUACCGGACUAAUAAGCACCGGCUAACUUCGUGCCAGCAGCCGCGGUAAUACGUAGGGUGCGAGCGUUAAUCGGAAUUACUGGGCGUAAAGCGUGCGCAGGCGGUUUUGUAAGUCAGAUGUGAAAUCCCCGGGCUUAACCUGGGAAUUGCGUUUGAGACUGCAAGGCUAGAGUGCGGCAGAGGGGGGUGGAAUUCCUGGUGUAGCAGUGAAAUGCGUAGAUAUCAGGAGGAACACCGAUGGCGAAGGCAGCCACCUGGGCCUGCACUGACGCUCAGGCACGAAAGCGUGGGGAGCAAACAGGCUUAGAUACCCUGGUAGUCCGUGCACUCAACGAUGUCAAAAUAGUAGUUCGAGCAGCAACGCACUCAGUGUCGCAGCUAACGCGA